GGGUCGUUAGCUCAGUCGGUAGAGCAGUUGACUUUUAAUCAAUUGGUCGCAAGUUCGAAUCCUGCACGACCCACCA
rnacentral:tRNA from 2 species